AUCUUGCUUUUGAGUCAUUUUACAGGUUUGUUGGUGAAGUACUAGUUUGCACAUUUACUUGAUAUCUUCCACACAAAUAUGGAUCUAGAAGAAGGGGAAAUGCCAAAAAUAAAGCAUAGAGGUAGUGCAUUGAAACCAAAGAUUGCAAAAAAUCGAAGUAAAGGGAUAAAGCUCAAGAUUGAAUACAAUAGCUUUGGUAGUCACAUUGAGGAGUAUUCAAUUGAACUAAGUAGUUAUCUUAGUACAAUAACUAGAACCCAUGUGCCAAUAAUUAUUGAGACUUGGAGGAAAGUCCCUAAAGAGACUAAGGAGAAGUUGUGGGAUUUGAUCACGGUAAGCCUAUCUAUAGCUUUAAUAUAUAAUUAUUGUAUACAUUCAUUAACAUGAGCUAACAUGGGUUGCUAUUUUGUAGACAAGCUUUAAUGUGAAAAAAAAAUCCAAGAGGAAUUGUUUCAUACUAAUGGGCAUUAGGUUUCGAACCUUUAAGUACAAGUUGACAAAGAAAUAUAUAUUGUCUUUCAAGAAUGACCAAAAAAGCUGAAAAAGUCACCUCCUAUUUACCCAUUCAUACAAGAGGAUCAUUGGAGACAGUUUGUUAAAGAUAGACUUUUUGAACAUUUUAAUGUUAAGCAUUAUUUUUAUUACAUCUUCAAUUUUCACAUUUACGUAGUUUCAUUAUGUACUAAUUUUGUGUCUAUAUUUUGUAGGAAUAUCACAAAGUUCAGAAAUCAAGAAGAGAUAAACACAUGUACAAUCAUUAUCUUGGAAGAAAAUGAUAUGCACGUUUUGAGCAAGAUAUAGAUGAAUUACUAGAAAAGGAAAAGAGACUGGACUACCUCCACCUGGUCCAAAUGACAUAUUAUGUCAGGCAUUGGGUAAGCUUGAUCAUCUAGGACGUGUGGUAGGUCAAGACCGCUUGGUUAGGCCGAACUCAUACUUUCAUCAACCAUUUGAUGACAUGAAAAAAAAAUCAAAGAAGAAAUAUGGGAAAUGGUGUGAAAGGGGAUGCAAGAUGUUGUAACAAGACAAACUAUGUCUCCUCCCACACCCCAUUCUGAUAUUGGUAGUAAUAACAUGAGACAACAACUUGUUUUACAACUAGUUGUAGCAAAAAAACCAAUGUUUAAAAUGAUGGAAGAGCCCCAACCACCAGAAACACCACUGAAACGUAAGGUAUACAUUUAUUUACUAAUAAUACAAGAUUAAUAUAAGUGAUAUAUAGCCUAUGUAAAUGAUAUUAUUUGUUGUAUUAAAGGUGAUUAAAUAUAAAUUAGCAGUGGAAUGAAAAUGAAAUGUUGUUGCAACCGGUACAUUAAUAGAAGAAAAUUGAUCAAAUGGGUUGGUCGUAAUAAAUGUUGCACACAACCUAGAUGCUAGACUCCCAUUUCCAAAUCCAUAUGAGAUUAUCAAUGUUGGGGAUGCUAUUGGCUUUAAGCUUGACUGGCCAACAAGCCUUGUCAUACUUGAAACUAAACAUCCUCGGGUAUGUCAUUUUAUACUUGUAGUAAAUUUGAUUGUAACUUGGUAUUUUAUUGUUUAGGAGUAUAUAUUACUAACAUUCCUUCAUUUUUCAUAGGUGUUGGAUAAAGGAAAGAAGUAGAUAGUGAAUGCACCAAUUAUUUGAAAAUCUAAGCCUCAAAAUUAUUCGGUCAUUAAAAAUUUUCAGAAAUUUAUGGAUGGUUAAUUGUCUUAGUAAUGAGAAGACAUACCCAAUACAGCUCCCCAUUUCACUAUUUGGUGUCGAAUUCCGAACAUAUAUAUCUAGAGAGGAUUGUGAAUACAUUAUUUCAUCUUUAGAGGUGUUAUCAAAAUGCAUCUCCUUCCAUUUAUGGUGUGCACCUUUUAUUUUCAUUUGUUUUUAUUUUUUUAAUAUGAGUUGCCCAUGUUGAACAAGAUUGGAUAUGACUAAUGAUAAUUUUCUUUUGGUGUUUUGAUAAUAUAAUAGGUACAUGCAUAAUCAACUACAUAUUGCCAAAAAGGAAUCACAAUUUAUAUUUGUUAAUCCUUUUACAAUAUCAUGAGUAGGCUUUAGUAAUCCUCAAACAGAGAAAAAAACACAAUUGUUGUCAAAACACUUAAUAGAGUGCCAAGAUGUCGGAUAUGUUUUCAUGCCCUACAACCCCGAGUAAGUGACGAAUAUUAUACUUUAAUUUGAGGUUUUAUGAUUGAUUUAUAUUUCUAAUUAGAUGCUACUUUUGUUUUUAAUGUUUUAGCUUUCAUUGGGUCUUGGUAGUGAUUGAGCCAAGGAAAAUGAUAGUCCACUAUCUUGACCCUGUGCAUCACAAAUCAUGUGAGGACUUAAAGGAUAUCGUAAACAUUGUCCAAGACAAGAAGGAGGGUUCGAAUGUGGCUACUUUGUUAUGAAAUUCAUUAAAGAGAUAAUUUUUUAUCCUACAAUGAUUACUUCAAAGGUAUUACUUAUUUAAUGAAUUGUAGAUAGUUUU